GUCAGUGUGGUGUAGUGGUUUGAAUGUUGGACUAUGUCUCUAGAGACCAAGGUUUGAUUACUGGCUCGGUCA